UGGGGAAUUUUGGACAAUGGGCGAAAGCCUGAUCCAGCAAUGCCGCGUGUGUGAAGAAGGCCUUCGGGUUGUAAAGCACUUUUGUCCGGAAAGAAAUCCUUGGCUCUAAUACAGUCGGGGGAUGACGGUACCGGAAGAAUAAGCACCGGCUAACUACGUGCCAGCAGCCGCGGUAAUACGUAGGGUGCAAGCGUUAAUCGGAAUUACUGGGCGUAAAGCGUGCGCAGGCGGUUUGCUAAGACCGAUGUGAAAUCCCCGGGCUCAACCUGGGAACUGCAUUGGUGACUGGCAGGCCAGAGUAUGGCAGAGGGGGGUAGAAUUCCACGUGUAGCAGUGAAAUGCGUAGAGAUGUGGAGGAAUACCGAUGGCGAAGGCAGCCCCCUGGGCCAAUACUGACGCUCAUGCACGAAAAGCGUGGGGAGCAAACAGGAUUAGAUACCCUGGUAGUCCACGCCCUAAAACGAUGUCAACUAGUUGUUGGGGAUUCAUUUCCUUAGUAACGUAGCUAACGCGUGAAGUUGACCGCCUGGGGAGUACGGUCGCAAGAUUAAAACUCAAAUGAAUUGACGGGGUCAUAGCUGUUUCCU
rnacentral:rRNA from 1 species